UACGAAGGGGGCGAGCGUUGUUCGGAAUUACUGGGCGUAAAGGGCGCGCAGGCGGCCUCUUGAAUUCAGAUGUGAAAGCCCCGGGCUCAACCUGGGAAUGGCAUUUGAUACUCGAGGGCUUGAGUACGGGAGAGGAGAGUGGAAUUCCCAGUGUAGAGGUGAAAUUCGUAGAUAUUGGGAAGAACACCGGUGGCGAAGGCGGCUCUCUGGAACGUAACUGACGCUGAGGCGCGAAAGCGUGGGGAGCAAACAGG
rnacentral:rRNA from 1 species